rnacentral:rRNA from 1 species
UACGUAGGGGGCAAGCGUUAUCCGGAUUUACUGGGUGUAAAGGGAGCGUAGGUGGCAUGGUAAGUCAGAAGUGAAACCCCAGGGCUCAACCUUGGGAUUGCUUUUGAAACUAUCAGGCUAGAGUGCAGGAGGGGUAAGCGGAAUUCCUGGUGUAGCGGUGAAAUGCGUAGAUAUCAGGAAGAACACCGGUGGCGAAGGCGGCUUACUGGACUGUAACUGACACUGAGGCUCGAAAGCGUGGGGAG